UGCCUAACCCCUAUAUCAUUUGGCGAUUUCCGAUGUAAGGUAUGGCAAAGAUAAAACCCUACGCGAAUAAAGAUGGUCUUCUGACCGGCACUUAUUCGCGUAGGUUUAUGCCUGAAAGGGCGUAGGACAGUUCUGAAAGGGAUUGUC
rnacentral:sRNA from 12 species